AGUAGUGCCAUUUUUGGCAUCUGUAAAUUUACCUUAGGAUAUUAGAUAUGAUGCAUGUUAUCUAAAUAACUAAAUUAGUUUUUUAAAACAUAUUAUUCCUAAAAGCGUUGUUAAGAUUCUCAGUGCACUGAAAUUAAAAUUUUUGUCUGUUAAAAUAUAGCAUGAUAUUCAGUUUGACAACUUGUUAGUGACACACAGUUAAAGCGUCCGAGUGUCGAUUUACUUGAUUAUUUGCAAAGAAUUUUCAAUGUCCUCUUGCGGUCCCAGAAAGUAAAAUAUUUUUCCACCCCUGACCAAAGGGUUAUUAUUCUUUAAUCGUUUUCAGUAUACAUCACAUUUCAAGAUGCUUAGCCAAAGAAUGGUACGGAGUUUGUGGUUCCUGGGGUUUCUCGUGUUGUUUGUCGUAUGCGUCAAGCAAUUCUCUCCGCUACAAAGGUUCAGCGAAUGGAAUGAUGGUGCAAGGUCUCGGUUGAGAAGACAGACAAUAU